rnacentral:lncRNA from 1 species
GAAUAAAGGAGUCAGUCUCCCCACCACCACCCUUGGGGCAAAAGGGACCUGGAUAGGAGGGUUGAUUCUUUGUUAUUCCGGCCCUACUCUUACCCCUCCCAGCUUUUGAGUGUCCUGGAGAAAUGAGAAUCUGAGUCGAUGGUAGUCACCAAUCUGCACUCUGUUCCCAGGACGUCGUUGGAGAACUGUGGGCUCACCUCUGAGGUUGAGAGGGGGUGCCCAUACCUAGCUCCUUCCCCAUUUUUAAUGCCCGUCCCUCACCCCUAUUGGUUCAGGGACAGCGGCUCAACCUGGGAGAAGGACAGAGUUAGGAGGGCGAAUGGAAGCGUGGUCAGGGAGGGCCUGGUUGCUCCCGGAGAGCCCCUGUUUGAGCCUGGCCCCCGCCCCAGGCACCGGCUCCCCUCCCUCCGCCUGAUUCAUCUUUUGUUUCAUUGCCUUCCCUGGCACCGGGCAUCGCUUCCUUCCUUCCUUCCUCCUCCUCCUUUGGGCCCUUAGCAUUAACCCCUUCGUGCUCUGGGUGCCCCCCAGAGAGGUGCCCAAGAGGAGCUGUGCGGGAUCAAGGCUGCUGGAAAAAGGAUUGGGGUGGCGGGGGUUGCGCGAAGUACAAUGGCCAUUAUCCGGGAUGACUUAACCGAGCGAGAAUCCUGAGCCCAGGCCGGGAACGCGCUGGGAGAAGCGGACUCAGCAGCUCCGGCCACAAAGGCGCUUUUCAGCCGCCCCGGCUCAGGGAGAGGAAAGGGCAGAAAGCCGCGCCCCCAAUCCCUGCUCCGUCCGGAUGCAGCCCAGAAGGGCGUGGGAGUAGCACCUGAGAAUAACGGUCUCCUUGUGCGGAUCUGGGGAGCCCCCUGCAGGGUGGCAACCAGAGGAAAGGGCCACAAUGUUCCACGGCCAAGGAGGAAAGAAGGAAUGCCCCUUUUCCCAUCUCUAGUUCUAACAUUCAAGAUCACUGGCCAGGCUGGAUGAAGUGGCUCACACCUGUAAUCCAGCACUUUGGGAGGCCGAGGUGGGAGGAUCCCUUGAGCUCAGGAGUUCAAGACUAGCCUAGGCAACAUGGCAAGACCCCGUCUCUACAAAAAAUAAAAAAUAAAUCACUCGCCAGAGGUGGUCCUUCUCUUCCACCUCACUCUAGGUGGUUCCAAUGCUCAAAAAUGGUAGUUGAAUUUAUCCUAAUUAUGUAAUUCCAAGGAAAGCCCCUGAGAUAGGCAGAGCUUGGAAGACUUAGGAGCCCUCUGAUUCUCAGGUGGGUCCAUCUGUUAUUCUCACUGAGGAUUACUUUUUAACCCCAAGAUUAUCGUUUAGACCCUAGGAUAGCCCUAGAAUAGACCCUAGAAUAGAUGUGUCCUGGUUCUAGGACACGUUUCCCAUGCCAAAAGCAAUGUCUGCCCAGCCCCUCCUCAGGUAGAUGGUCUGGUGACCUGACCCUUGGCCACCCCUGUCCCAGCCCUUUUCAGUCUCUUCUUUUCGGCCCACAGAGCUUUUCUACAAUCAGGUCAGGAGCCAGGCUUCUGUCUGCUACCUAGCCAGCUCCUGGCCCCCAGCUCACCCCAGCCCUUCCUGCCUGGCUGGGUGGCUGACCCCCGGUCCACGCCUCAGCCAUUUCCCGUCUCGCCUGCCGCCAUCCUCCUUUCCCCGCCCUCGCUGCCUCUACCAGCUUCACUCUCACUAGUCAGUCCCUCCUCCCCUCCCCAUCCCAGACUAUUCUAGUCGGGAGCCGUCCUAAUUACUCUGUCCAGACUGCAAGGAUUUUUCCCCCCCCUGGGGCUGGUGACAAGGGAAAUCUCUAAGGCUAAACUCUCUGUAGGUGAAGCUGGACUCACCCACCUGGGCUGCCAUAGGAAAACGGAGGAGCUGGCAGUGCCCCGGCGCAGGCAUCUAAUAGCUGCUGUUUUUCAAAUGAAUGACUUCUCAGUUGGAAGCUGCUGAAGGGCAGUGGACACUCAAAAGUCUUUGUAAGAGGUACAGAAACAAGGCCAUGAAUAUAAGGAGGAGUCAGGGGACAAGCCAGCUUUAAGCAAGACUGAGGAUGGAGGAGUUUCC